rnacentral:rRNA from 1 species
AGCGAAAUUCCUUGUCGGGUAAGUUCCGACCCGCACGAAAGGCGUAACGAUUUGGGCACUGUCUCAACGAGAGACUCGGUGAAAUCAUAGUACCUGUGAAGAUGCAGGUUACCCGCGACAGGACGGAAAGACCCCGUGGAGCUUUACUGUAGCCUGAUAUUGAAAUUCGGCACAGCUUGUACAGGAUAGGUAGGAGCCUUUGAAACGUGAGCGCUAGCUUACGUGGAGGCGCUGGUGGGAUACUACCCUAGCUGUGUUGGCUUUCUAACCCGCACCACUUAUCGUGGUGGGAGACAGUGUCAGGCGGGCAGUUUGACUGGGGCGGUCGCCUCCUAAAAGGUAACGGAGGCGCUCAAAGGUUCCCUCAGAAUGGUUGGAAAUCAUUCAUAGAGUGUAAAGGCAUAAGGGAGCUUGACUGCGAGACCUACAAGUCGAGCAGGGUCGAAAGACGGACUUAGUGAUCCGGUGGUUCCGCAUGGAAGGGCCAUCGCUCAACGGAUAAAAGCUACCCCGGGGAUAACAGGCUUAUCUCCCCCAAGAGUUCACAUCGACGGGGAGGUUUGGCACCUCGAUGUCGGCUCAUCGCAUCCUGGGGCUGUAGUCGGUCCCAAGGGUUGGGCUGUUCGCCCAUUAAAGCGGUACGCGAGCUGGGUUCAGAACGUCGUGAGACAGUUCGGUCCCUAUCCGUCGUGGGCGUAGGAAAUUUGAGAGGAGCUGUCCUUAGUACGAGAGGACCGGGAUGGACAUACCUCUGGUGUACCAGUUGUCGUGCCAACGGCAUAGCUGGGUAGCUAUGUAUGGACGGGAUAAGUGCUGAAAGCAUCUAAGCAUGAAGCCCCCCUCAAGAUGAGAUUUCCCAACUUCGGUUAUAAGAUCCCUCAAAGAUGAUGAGGUUAAUAGGUUCGAGGUGGAAGCGUGGUGACACGUGGAGCUGACGAAUACUAAUCGAUCGAAGACUUAAUCAAUUU